rnacentral:rRNA from 1 species
UACAGAGGUCCCGAGCGUUGUUCGGAUUCACUGGGCGUAAAGGGUGCGUAGGUGGCGAUGAAAGUUCGAUGUGAAAUCUCCGGGCUUAACCCGGAAAAGGCAUUGAAAACUAUGUUGCUUGAGGUUUGGAGGGGGGACUGGAAUUCUUGGUGUAGCAGUGAAAUGCGUAGAUAUCGAGAGGAACACCAGUGGCGAAGGCGAGUCCCUGGACAACACCUGACACUGAGGCACGAAAGCCGGGGGAGCAAACAGG